CAAGUCAGGUGCUGCAGUCUGGUUGCCAAAUUUACGCAUGGAGACAUCACUGUCAUACACUGCUCCAAGGAGGGGAGAGCUAGGGCAUGAGGGAGAGAGAUUUAUCUCUGAAUUGUAGAGAACUCCAGUGUACCACAAUGCCCCAAAGACAUGUGCCUGG